rnacentral:rRNA from 1 species
UGGGGAAUAUUGCACAAUGGGCGCAAGCCUGAUGCAGCCAUGCCGCGUGUAUGAAGAAGGCCUUCGGGUUGUAAAGUACUUUCAGCGGGGAGGAAGGGAGUAAAGUUAAUACCUUUGCUCAUUGACGUUACCCGCAGAAGAAGCACCGGCUAACUCCGUGCCAGCAGCCGCGGUAAUACGGAGGGUGCAAGCGUUAAUCGGAAUUACUGGGCGUAAAGCGCACGCAGGCGGUUUGUUAAGUCAGAUGUGAAAUCCCCGGGCUCAACCUGGGAACUGCAUCUGAGACUGGCAAGCUUGAGUCUCGUAGAGGGGGGUGGAAUUCCAGGUGUAGCGGUGAAAUGCGUAGAGAUCUGGAGGAAUACCGGUGGCGAAGGCGGCCCCCUGGGCGAAGACUGACGCUCAGGUGCGAAAGCGUGGGGAGCAAACAGG